rnacentral:snRNA from 1 species
AUACUCUGGUUUCCCUUCAGAUCACAUAAAUCUUUCACCUCUUACCAGAUUUCUGUGGAGAGGAACAAUUCUGAGUCUCAGCCCAAGG